rnacentral:rRNA from 1 species
GAUGAACGCUGGCGGCGUGCUUAACACAUGCAAGUCGAACGAAGCACUUAAAACGGAUUGGAAUAGCUUGCUAGGAAGAGAAGUUUUAUUUGACUGAGUGGCGGACGGGUGAGUAACGCGUGGGUAACCUGCCUCACACAGGGGGAUAACAGUUAGAAAUGACUGCUAAUACCGCAUAAUAUGCAGCCUCGCAUGAGACUGCUUUGAAAACUCCGGUGGUGUGAGAUGGGCCCGCGUCUGAUUAGCCAGUUGGUGGGGUAACGGCCUACCAAGGCGACGAUCAGUAGCCGGCCUGAGAGGGUGAACGGCCACAUUGGGACUGAGACACGGCCCAA